UCGUGCUAGGUGGGGAGGUAGCGGUGCCCUGUAACCCGCAAACCGCUAUAGCGGGACGGAAUUCCCGGUUUUGAGGCCUACGUCAGGCAGAGUUCUCCCUCUGUAGAAGAUGUUGAGGAUUGGGUCCUGUGCGACGGAGCGUUGUGAACCCGGUCAGGUCCGGAAGGAAGCAGCCGUAAGCAAAUGUUCUCCGGGUGCCGCAGGAGCGCCUGAUCUGAGUCCAAUAUAGUGUGAGAGGCUUUCUUUGGCAGGUCGAUGCCGGGUGCACGG
rnacentral:SRP_RNA from 1 species